CCCAAGGAUAGAGGCAGAACUUUUC
rnacentral:piRNA from 1 species